rnacentral:rRNA from 1 species
CUACGGGGGGCUCCAGCGGGGAAUAUUGCACAAUGGGAGCAAGCCUGAUGCAGCCAUGCCGCGUAUAUGAAGAAGGCCUUCGGGUUGUAAAGUACUUUCAGCGGGGAGGAAGGGAGUAAAGUUAAUACCUUUGCUCAUUGACGUUACCCGCAGAAGAAGCACCGGCUAACUCCGUGCCAGCAGCCGCGGUAAUACGGAGGGUGCAAGCGUUAAUCGGAAUUACUGGGCGUAAAGCGCACGCAGGCGGUUUGUUAAGUCAGAUGUGAAAUCCCCGGGCUCAACCUGGGAACUGCAUCUGAUACUGGCAAGCUUGAGUCUCGUAGAGGGGGGUAGAAUUCCAGGUGUAGCGGUGAAAUGCGUAGAGAUCUGGAGGAAUACCGGUGGCGAAGGCGGCCCCCUGGACGAAGACUGACGCUCAGGUGCGAAAGCGUGGGGAGCAAACAGGAUUAGAUACCCUAGUAGUC